UACGUAGGGUGCAAGCGUUUAAUCGGAAUUACUGGGCGUAAAGCGUGCGCAGGCGGUCUGUUAAGACCGAUGUGAAAUCCCCCGGGCUUAACCUGGGAACUGCAUUGGUGACUGGCAGGCUUUGAGUGUGGCAGAGGGAGGUAGAAUUCCACGUGUAGCAGUGAAAUGCGUAGAGAUGUGGAGGAAUACCGAUGGCGAAGGCAGCCUCCUGGGCCAACACUGACGCUCAUGCACGAAAGCGUGGGGAGCAAACAGG
rnacentral:rRNA from 1 species